GACGAACGCUGGCGGUGUGCUUAACACAUGCAAGUGGUGCGACGAACCAGAGCUUGCUCUGGGGCAAAGCCGCGAACGGGUGAGUAACACGUGGGUAAUCUACCCCGAUGACCGGGACAACCCGAGGAAACUCGGGCUAAUACCGGAUGUGGUACGGAGACAUAAGUCUCUUUACUAAAGGUAGCUUCGGCUUCCGCAUUGGGAGGGGCCCGCGGCCCAUUAGCUAGUUGGUGGGGUCAAGGCCUACCAAGGCAACGAUGGGUAGCUGGUCUGAGAGGACGAUCAGCCACACUGGGACUGAGACACGGCCCAGACUCCUACGGGAGGCAGCAGUGGGGAAUCUUGCGCAAUGCGCGAAAGCGUGACGCAGCAACACCGCGUGAGGGAAGACGGCCUUAGGGUUGUAAACCUCUUUCAGAUGGGACGAAGGUGAUGCGGUGAAUAGCCGAUGUCAUUGACGGUACCGUCAGAAGAAGGCUCCGGCUAACUACGUGCCAGCAGCCGCGGUAAU
rnacentral:rRNA from 1 species